UAGGGAAUCUUCGGCAAUGGGCGAAAGUCUGACCGAGCAACGCCGCGUGAGUGAAGAAGGUUUUCGGAUCGUAAAACUCUGUUGUUAGAGAAGAACAAGGACGUUAGUAACUGAACGUCCCCUGACGGUAUCUAACCAGAAAGCCACGGCUAACUACGUGCCAGCAGCCGCGGUAAUACGUAGGUGGCAAGCGUUGUCCGGAUUUAUUGGGCGUAAAGCGAGCGCAGGCGGUUUCUUAAGUCUGAUGUGAAAGCCCCCGGCUCAACCGGGGAGGGUCAUUGGAAACUGGGAGACUUGAGUGCAGAAGAGGAGAGUGGAAUUCCGUGUGUAGCGGUGAAAUGCGUAGAUAUAUGGAGGAACACCAGUGGCGAAGGCCGCUCUCUGGUCUGUAACUGACGCUGAGGCUCGAAAGCGUGGGGAGCAAACAGG
rnacentral:rRNA from 1 species